GAUGAACGCUGGCGGCGUGCUUAAUACAUGCAAGUCGAGCGAACAGACGAGGAGCUUGCUCCUCUGUCGUUAGCGGCGGACGGGUGAGUAACACGUGGAUAACCUACCUAUAAGACUGGGAUAACUUCGGGAAACCGGCGCUAAUACCGGAUAAUAUAUUGAACCGCAUGGUUCAAUGGUGAAAGACGGUUUUGCUGUCACUUAUAGAUGGAUCCGCGCCGCAUUAGCUGGUUGGUAAGGUAACGGCUUACCAAGGCAACGAUGCGUAGCCGAACUGAUAGAGUGGUCGGCCACACUAGAACUGGAACGCGGUCCAUACUCCUACGGGACGCAGCAGUAGGCAAUCGGCCGCAGUAGUCGAAAGCCUUACGCAACAACGCCGAGCGAGUGAUGAAGGUCUUCCGAUCGUAAUGCUCUGUUAUGAGGUAAGAACAAAUGUGUAAGUAGCUAUGCACGUCUUGACGGUAACUAGUCAGAAAGCCACGGCUAACUACGUG
rnacentral:rRNA from 1 species